AAAUGCCUUUAAAGGAGUCAUAUCAUGCUUUUCAUUCUAAAAAAUAUUAGACUUUAAUGUCUCAGUAAGGUCUCUGUAAAUUUUCAUCCCAUAAAACCCUUUAGAUCGUCCACACUGCCCCUGUCAAUGUGUGGUUUUCACUCUCUAUCAGCAAACGCUGUGUUUUCUGGGCGUGUCGCAAGCGAAGCUGCUCGCCACACCUCUGUGCGGAAGCGCACACCUUUUUUGUUGUUGUUGUUUUUUUUUUAAAUUGGCUCCAUGGAUACGAGCCACCGCACGGUUACAAUACAAUAGGUGGCAGUAGUGCGACAUUGAGAAUGCAAUCCACCCCAAUCCUCCACAGAAGAAGAAGACCCACUACAGAACUGCACAUUAGUCAGCUGGUUCGUAGCGUAGUAGAACCAUACGUCUACGAUCCCGAAUCUGACCCUGAAGCUGAAGAGGAGGCUGUUGAAGUCACCACAUUUCGGCUGAUGCAAGAUGUGUCUCAUUGUUGUUACAGGUAUCUAGUCUACAGAGGCUAGUGAGCUGGUGCUGAGGAUUCCUGGGGUGAAGAAUCUGAGUUGCCAUCUCUUCAUGCUUGAGUUGUAGAUGAAGGCAGUUUCCUGAUGGAUAAAACACU